rnacentral:rRNA from 1 species
CCAAUAGCGUGUAUUAAAGUUGUUGCAGUUAAAAAGCUCGUAGUUGAAUUUCGGGAUCAAUAUGUCGGUCGUGCUUCGGUACGUACUUGCAUUAUUGGUUUCCCCCUUCUGAAGAACCAUGAUGUCAUUAAUUUGGUGUCUUGGGGAAUCAGGACUGUUACUUUGAAAAAAUUAGAGUGUUUAAAGCAGGCUCACGCUUGAAUACAUUAGCAUGGAAUAAUGAAAUAGGACGUUUGAUUCUAUUUUGUUGGUUUCUAGGAUCGACGUAAUGAUUAAUAGGGAUAGUUGGGGGCAUUAGUAUUCAAUUGUCAGAGGUGAAAUUCUUGGAUUUAUUGAAGACUAACUACUGCGAAAGCAUUUGCCAAGGAUGUUUUCAUUAAUCAAGAACGAAAGUUAGGGGAUCGAAGACGAUCAGAUACCGUCGUAGUCUUAACCAUAAACUAUGCCGACUAGGGAUCGGAUGAUGUUAAUUUUUAAUGACUCAUUCGGCGCCUUACG